UACGGAGAGUGCAAGCGUUGUUCGGAAUUAUUGGGCGUAAAGCGCGUGUAGGCGGUCCAACAAGUCUGGCGUGAAAGCCUUGAGCUCAACUCAAGAAGUGCGCUGGAAACUGUCGGACUUGAGUACUGGAGGGGGAGGUGGAAUUCUCGAGUGUAGAGGUGAAAUUCGUAGAUAUUCGGAAGAACAUCAGUGGCGAAGGCGACCUCCUGGACAGAUACUGACGCUGAGACGCGAAAGCGUGGGUAGCAAACAGGAUUAGAUACCCUGGUAGUCCACGCUGUAAACGAUGGAUGCUAGUUGUCGCGGGUAACCAACCCUGCGGUAACGAAGCUAACGCGAUAAGCAUCCCGCCUGGGGAUUACGGCCGCAAGGCUA
rnacentral:rRNA from 1 species